UACGUAGGGGGCUAGCGUUGUCCGGAAUCAUUGGGCGUAAAGAGCGUGUAGGCGGUCCGGUAAGUCCGCUGUGAAAGUCGGGGGCUCAACCCUCGAAUGCCGGUGGAUGCUGUCGGGCUAGAGUGCGGAAGAGGCGAGUGGAAUUCCUGGUGUAGCGGUGAAAUGCGCAGAUAUCAGGAGGAACACCUAUUGCGAAGGCAGCUCGCUGGGACGUAACUGACGCUGAGACGCGAAAGCGUGGGGAGCAAACAGG
rnacentral:rRNA from 1 species